rnacentral:rRNA from 1 species
UGGGGAAUAUUGCACAAUGGGCGCAAGCCUGAUGCAGCCAUGCCGCGUGUGUGAAGAAGGCCUUCGGGUUGUAAAGCACUUUCAGCGGGGAGGAAGGCGAUAAGGUUAAUAACCUUGUCGAUUGACGUUACCCGCAGAAGAAGCACCGGCUAACUCCGUGCCAGCAGCCGCGGUAAUACGGAGGGUGCAAGCGUUAAUCGGAAUUACUGGGCGUAAAGCGCACGCAGGCGGUCUGUCAAGUCGGAUGUGAAAUCCCCGGGCUCAACCUGGGAACUGCAUUCGAAACUGGCAGGCUAGAGUCUUGUAGAGGGGGGUAGAAUUCCAGGUGUAGCGGUGAAAUGCGUAGAGAUCUGGAGAAAUACCGGUGGCGAAGGCGGCCCCCUGGACAAAGACUGACGCUCAGGUGCGAAAGCGUGGGGAGCAAACAGG